rnacentral:lncRNA from 1 species
CGUCUUUAAAAAGAUCAAAUGGAAUGUGCAAAGACAAACUUGGCAUGUUUACUCUCUGGUAGUGUCUCGAGUCAGUUUUGUGACUGCAGGAACUCAAAUGAUGUUUAUUUCUGAUCUGCAGGAGUAUCUUGAUGAGCGUGUUGGGUCUAGCACAAGAAGAGCAAUUCUGUAUCAGGUAUGAAAAACGUGAUAAUCUUAAACCUUAAUAUUUGUUCUUUCUUUCCUUGUAUUUACAGUAUGAAGUUGCUAGGCUUUGCUUCUUUGGAGCGUUUGAUUUUCUUAUAGUAUAUUGAUGGGUGCAUACUAACACCAUAGAAGACCAUAGAAUAAAACAGCUAAGAAAUUUCAGAUAAUAUCAACCAUGUAAGCAACGGCUGCAAACUCAGCAUCCUUUGGUUUGCAUAAAUAUUACUGAAUUAAGCUCAUAUCUAGCAUUUUAUCAGGAAGGGGACCUAAAAGUACACAUUGACAUCCAUAGAUGUGACUAUCAUAUACAUGCAUGUUUCCCAGCUUCUAGCGAGUUAUGAUUGCAGUGAAGUUUCUCCUCAGAAUGCGACUAGGACUAGCCUCAGGUUUUCAGCUCUCAAAAAAAUUUCUAUGAGACCCUAGUUAAUUUGCUUGUGACUGUGCAACUUGUAUUGACCUUCCAUUUAUUACACAUGUCUCUUGCUGGACCUUAAAAAAAAAACAUGUUGCAGGAAUACGUCAAAGGUAUAUCAUCAACUGGAAUGCAGUCUAGUUAUGGUUUUGAUGGUCAAGUCAAUGCUUGCUGGACGCAUAAGAUGACACGAACAGAAAUUGAAUUAAUCAGAUCUGCUGGAUUUCUUGUAUCAGUCAUACAUGGCAGGUAAUAGUGUUCUCUAUCUUAUUUCCGUGGAAUACACGAUUUCUGCCAAAUCACUAAUUUAAUAUUAUUCCUUUUACCUAUACAUUGUAUUUUAAAUUUUUAUUAUGCAGGCGAAUGAAAUAUACAAAGCUACUAACUCAUUAGAAAAGAACAUGUUUGAAGAAAGAUUGUGUGAAAUGGUGCACUGAAGCACAGCGAGUUCUUACAAAAUUAUGUUUUCAUGUGGUUUCAUUGAGAUGAAUUAAACAGCUUUUCAUUUUAUCAAUUACUUGAGUGGAGGAUAAUAUGAUUCAUAAAGUUAGAAAUCUGUCUUGGUCUAGUAGUAUAAAAGAAGCCAAAAUGCGCAAGGAUGCAAUGCAAGUGAGGGGGUCUAUCAUGCAGAAAAUACUUGGUCAAAAUCAUGUUUUCUAUAUGCUGUCAAGCAUCUGAGUAUUCAGUACAUAAAAAAACCUUCCCAAAAUGUAGAAAUGACAUUAUUGAUUGACGAGUUGAGAGCAGUCAAAAAUCAAAGAACCAUUGACAGAUAAUGAGUUUCAGGCUCUGAUUAGUUUUUUUCUGAUAUUAAAUUAUUCUUAAGACAAUUUCAGAUGCAAAAACAUUGUAUUUAACAAGGCAAUGAAUCAUUUUCCAUGUUUCAUGUCAUCACAUUUCAGAACACAUAUCUCAACUCUUUAAAGAUCAAAAGUCAAAACUAUACUCUAGCAGCAUACUUGACAGUGUUUUGCCAAUGAGUUCUGGAGCUUUAUAGAAAGCUUAUUUGGUAAAUAGCCAGUCUGCCGUCGUUGGUAGAUUCUUUUGUUUUUCUUAAUGAGUGGUAGCCCUAGGUGAAUACGUUAGUAGAUUCUUGCUAUUUACGUAUCAGAAAAGAAGAUGAAUAUUUUUUGUCAUGUGUAGUAAUGAUAUACCAUAAGGACUACAUCCUUGAGUGCUUUACCUGCUUAUGACUGAUUUGAGGUGCUCGGAAUGGAUAGGCAUGAUAUCAUUGCUCAAAUAUAUUAUGCGAGGAGGCUUGCAAAGAAGUUGCAGCCUGCUGCUAGAUUGGUUGAUCUCCACGGUGGGCAUCUAGUGAGCCAUGAGAGGACCACAGAGGUAUUCUUGCUAUCUUAUAUAGAAACAUGGCAUGAAUGCUCCAUUGCAUUAUGGAGCGGUGUUUGUUCUGCAAUAAAGAAUUAUUGUUAUUUUAGGGUAACACAUGCAUAUAUGAACAUUGAUCGAGAAAUAUUUUUUUCCUCCCCGGUGAAACUGGAAAUAUUAUAACAUUGCACUUGAUUAAGAACAAUAGUAGAUGCAUAUGUUGCUGUGUAGAAGGAUGCGGCAAGUCCAUGAAUCAAUCACGAAAAUGCUUAACUUUUUGUAUAAACUAACAAAACUAUGAAAUAUUUCACCACCGGCAGAAUUACAUCACAGAAAUUGCAUUCUGCGGUUUAUUUAAUUAUGUUACUAUGUAUAAAAAUCCAAGUAUUGUUUUUUUUUUUUUUUUUUUUUAAUUUCAGGUCAAUCAAGCUCUUUGUGACCUGAUUAGUGCUUCGGAAAAAAAGAUGAGCCCACAUGUUUGGACCAAUUUUCCCAAGGAAAGCUCUCGUAAGUAUCCACAUUCAGCAGGGGUUUCUGUUGGGUGUUAGCAAUGGUUGGGAUUGCCACCAUGAGCAUGCUGUAGUAUAUAUUUCCCCUUUUCUUUUCUGUGAAUGAGGAAAGAAAAGGGAGAUCGUCCGCAGGACAAAUUAUUUCAAAUCCAUGGAUUCCUGGCCUGCACCAUCCUAACUUCUCUCCUAAAAGGAAUGCCUAUCUCUUUGGCAACGAAAAUUUGAGCAUGUUUUUCAUUAAAGUAGUUCAAAAUAGAGAACGUGCAUCAAGAAACUUUCCUAAAUGGAUGCCUCUAGCGGCUAAAAUCUGGUGGAAGAAAGGAUGAUUGGAUCUAUACAUGUAAAUACCAUACAUUGCCAUUCAUUUUUAAAGUCAUGAGCUAAUAUUUUCUGGCUGCUUUUUCCCCCUUCUUGUCCAGGGUGGUCAGAGAAAGGAUCAUUAUUAGGUAGAACACGUGUAGAGGGUAAAACCGCAAGAUCUGCUCAACAGUUUGUGUCAUCGAAAAGCUGCAUCUAAGCAUAUCAUAUGUCUUCGGUCUCUUUGUGUUCAUGUUUGAGUAUAUACAAAGGGCCAUAAGAAGUCGGCAUCCAGCCAGAGUUGGAUCUUCCCUCACAUAAGCUAAUAGUCAAUCAAAUCCACCAUUUUUAGAGGUAAUUUCAUAAGAUUUCUCGCUCUCUGAUCAAGGCAUUCUUCUGCAAAGGGGAAAAACUUGAAACAUUUCAUAUCUGUUCAUUUUGCAGGGUUUAUUGACUUGCGACCCUUGUGGCUUGGCUCUAUGUGACCAUAACUAGGGAACUAUACAUUCAAAAUAAAGAACAACAAGGCCAAGCAGACCUUGUUAUGACAUAAAUUAACAUCAUGAUUCAGGAGGCUGUAUAAAGAAACCUGAAACCACCAUCAAGGCAUAUCUCAAGCCCUUGGAUUUUGUUCACAAGUAACAAUGUUAUUAAUAAAUUGGUUUGGGGUGAGCAAAGACCUCGAUGGAGAAUUCACAACAAGUGACCCAUUUUGGCUUUGUAUACCAGCAGCAAAUCAUUUUUACUGCUUACCCCUUCUGAGAAAAAAACUUGCCAUCCUUUCCCGUGUGUUUAUGUUGCAAACAAAUUAUUUCUUGAGUAUAUUAUUAUAUCACAAGCACAACUAUGUAACUAGAAGAAAAGGCUGGCCUAGUUGGUCAUGUAUUCUGCAAUGGCCAUGGCAAGUCUUUUUGACAAGCAUCGACCUUCUAAAUUCUACAUUUAACAAAAGCAUCAUGAUAUUGCACUAGAAAAAUGAUAAAAUUAGACAUGGAGUGACUGCUCCGUUCAUAAGACAAGUAAGACAAGGCAAACGCAAACCGAUCGAGACAAACAUCCAAUUAUACAGAGAUAAAGACCUCAAUUAACAAAUUUAUUCUCAGGAUCAUUUGACAGUGAACUCACGGCUAAUUUUGCAGACAAAUUUCCCGCCCACACUAGCUGCUAAAGCAUGCCUAACUACUAGUUAUGAUCACCACCGGAUAAUUAAAAAAUUGAUUGCAAGAAAAUUAUGUCAGACAACUAUUAGUUAUAAGUGAUUGACACGGCACAAAUCUCGGAUCCCUAGUUGAACCAAAAUAAAAAUCUAAAAGUAAAUUAAAAAAAAAAAAAAAACCUUUAUAAAAAUACAGUUUUUAACUGGUUUUUCUAAGGUGUCGUGGUGCUUUAACACCUAGUCAACCUCUCCCUAUUUUUGUGAAAUCCGCUGGAGACGCUUUCGACAUGACCGAGUUGAAUAACAGUGCUACUAGUAAUUCAAGAAAAGUGAACAGCCGCAAACAAGAUUUGGAUUCAGACCAUUUGAUCGUCUUAUGCACUUAAGACUCUUCAUAAUCAUCAAUAAGUUUCUCACCAAAAGCAUGUGUUAAUUUAGAGAGAACGAACUCUAGCUAGUAUUUCUUUGUAGAUAUAUAAAAGAAAGACCCUCUAAAACUUAUGGUGAGUGCAUGAUACAAACAUGUAGACAAAACCUCCAUGCAUGCCCAUAGGUAUAAGCUUAUCUCAUGAGAAAACGAAAACAAAUCAGAGGAUUUAUGUGCUGUACCUGUUGAAAAAGAGCUUGGUGGCUGAAACUUGUUGCUGAAUCCUGGAAUGAAAAUGGCAGCUGUGAGCAGUGAGCGUAUCUUUUGGUUAGGAAGCUGAGCUUGGAAGAAAAGAAAGAACGGA